GAUGAACGCUGGCGGCGUGCCUAAUACAUGCAAGUCGAGCGAACAGACGAGGAGCUUGCUCCUCUGACGUUAGCGGCGGACGGGUGAGUAACACGUGGAUAACCUACCUAUAAGACUGGGAUAACUUCGGGAAACCGGAGCUAAUACCGGAUAAUAUAUUGAACCGCAUGGUUCAAUAGUGAAAGACGGUUUUGCUGUCACUUAUAGAUGGAUCCGCGCCGCAUUAGCUAGUUGGUAAGGUAACGGCUUACCAAGGCAACGAUGCGUAGCCGACCUGAGAGGGGGAGCGGCCACACUGGGACUGAGAAACGGUCCAGACUCCGACGGGAGGCAGCAGUGGGGAAUUUUGCGCAAUGGGCGAAAGCCUGAUCGAGCAAUGCCGCGUGUGUGAUGAAGGUCUUCGGAUCGUAAAGCACUGUUGUUAGGGAAGAAAAAAUGGGCAAGUAAACGGGCGGGGGAUGACGGUACCGGAAGAGGAAGCACCGGCUAACUACGUG
rnacentral:rRNA from 1 species